CGAAAGCCUGACGGAGCAAUACCGCGUGAGGGAGGAAGGCUCUUGGGUUGUAAACCUCAAAACUUAGGGAAGAAGAAAGUGACGGUACCUAAUAUAAGCAUCGGCUAACUCCGUGCCAGCAGCCGCGGUAAUACGGAGGAUGCAAGCGUUAUCCGGAAUCAUUGGGCGUAAAGCGUCCGUAGGUGGCAGUUCAAGUCCGUAUUCAAAGACCGAGGCUCAACUUCGGGUAGGGUACGGAAACUGAGUAGCUAGAGUAUAGGAGGGGCAGAGGGAAUUCCUAGUGUAGCGGUGAAAUGCGUAGAGAUUAGGAAGAACACCAGUGGCGAAGGCGCUCUGCUGGACAUAUACUGACACUGAGGGACGAAAGCUAGGGUAGCG
rnacentral:rRNA from 3 species